rnacentral:rRNA from 1 species
AUGACUGCUGAAUGGAGCGUUGAGAACACUCGGAUUGUGUGCGAGUUGUUUGCCGCGCAAGUGAACGCUGGAAAUAGGCCAGGAAAUUAUUUGACACCAAAUGCAUUUGAUGAGGUGACAAGGCAAUUCAAAAUGAGAACUGGGCUUGACUACACACAAACGCAAUUGAAAAACAAAUGGGACAAGCUUAAAGGUGAUUUCAGUGUAUUCAAGAAACUCAAGUUGCGGGAGACCGGAGCCGGAUGGGACUAUGUGAACAAUACUGUGUCGCAAGAUGAUGAGUGGUGGAAAAAGGCUAAAAUUGAUAUUAAAGGUUGUGGCAAGUUCAAGAAGAAAGGACUUGCUAAUGAAGAAAACUUGCGGACUAUAUUUGGAGAUAUCACAAGUGAUGGUACUGACCAUUGGAAUCCUUCUUCGGGCACGCCUCCUCCCUCUAGUGCGGCAUUGAAAGCUAGCAUCAAUGUUGAUGAGAUCGAGGAUUUGGAUGAUACCGAAGAACAAGCAUCUCAGGCAACACCUACUUCAUCUAAAGUGAGGCUUGGAAUCAUCAUUCCGGAGAAGAACAAGAAACCCAAGACCGCACAAGUGAUGUGUGAGCAAGUUACAAGGAUUGGUGAUAUUGCCGAGGCUUCUCACUCAUCAUUUCAAUCUUUCCUAAAGCAAGAUGAGGCGAACUCUGUCAGCUCGGUUAUGGAUGAAGUCAUUGCUUAUGGUGCAGCAGCUGAUACCGAUGAGUUCUUCAUGGCUUCUGAGUUGUUUGUGAAGAGGGCGCAAAGGGAGAUGUUUCUUUACAUGCCUCUUGAGUCCCGAAAGGGAUGGUUGCGCAGGAAGUAUGACUUGAAGUAUGGGAAAUAG